AUAAUGGGUCAGCGACUUAUAUUCUGUAGCAAGGUUAACCGAAUAGGGGAGCCGAAGGGAAACCGAGUCUUAACUGGGCGUUAAGUUGCAGGGUAUAGACCCGAAACCCGGUGAUCUAGCCAUGGGCAGGUUGAAGGUUGGGUAACACUAACUGGAGGACCGAACCGACUAAUGUUGAAAAAUUAGCGGAUGACUUGUGGCUGGGGGUGAAAGGCCAAUCAAACCGGGAGAUAGCUGGUUCUCCCCGAAAGCUAUUUAGGUAGCGCCUCGUGAAUUCAUCUCCGGGGGUAGAGCACUGUUUCGGCAAGGGGGUCAUCCCGACUUACCAACCCGAUGCAAACUGCGAAUACCGGAGAAUGUUAUCACGGGAGACACACGGCGGGUGCUAACGUCCGUCGUGAAGAGGGAAACAACCCAGACCGCCAGCUAAGGUCCCAAAGUCAUGGUUAAGUGGGAAACGAUGUGGGAAGGCCCAGACAGCCAGGAUGUUGGCUUAGAAGCAGCCAUCAUUUAAAGAAAGCGUAAUAGCUCACUGGUCGAGUCGGCCUGCGCGGAAGAUGUAACGGGGCUAAACCAUGCACCGAAGCUGCGGCAGCGACGCUGAUGCGUUGUUGGGUAGGGGAGCGUUCUGUAAGCCUGCGAAGGUGUGCUGUGAGGCAUGCUGGAGGUAUCAGAAGUGCGAAUGCUGACAUAAGUAACGAUAAAGCGGGUGAAAAGCCCGCUCGCCGGAAGACCAAGGGUUCCUGUCCAACGUUAAUCGGGGCAGGGUGAGUCGACCCCUAAGGCGAGGCCGAAAGGCGUAGUCGAUGGGAAACAGGUUAAUAUUCCUGUACUUGGUGUUACUGCGAAGGGGGGACGGAGAAGGCUAUGUUGGCCGGGCGACGGUUGUCCCGGUUUAAGCGUGUAGGCUGGUUUUCCAGGCAAAUCCGGAAAAUCAAGGCUGAGGCGUGAUGACGAGGCACUGCGGUGCUGAAGCAACAAAUGCCCUGCUUCCAGGAAAAGCCUCUAAGCAUCAGGUAACAUCAAAUCGUACCCCAAACCGACACAGGUGGUCAGGUAGAGAAUACCAAGGCGCUUGAGAGAACUCGGGUGAAGGAACUAGGCAAAAUGGUGCCGUAACUUCGGGAGAAGGCAC
rnacentral:rRNA from 1 species